GAUGAAGAACGCAGUGAAAUGCGAUACUUGGUGUGAAUUGCAGAAUCCCGUGAACCAUCGAGUCUUUGAACGCAAGUUGCGCCCGAAGCCAUUAGGCCGAGGGCACGCCUGCCUGGGUGUCACACGUCGUUGCCCCCCCAUCUACUCCUUCGGGAUUGCGGGGGGCGGAUGAUGGCCUCCCGUGCGCCUCGUCGCGCGGUUGGCAUAAAUGCCAAGUCCUCGGCGACGCACGCCACGACAAUCGGUGGUUGCGAAACCUCGGUUGCCCGUCGUGUGCGGUCGUCGCGCAUCGAGGGCUCGAAAAAAUUGCCGGGCUUCGGCUCGGCUUUCAACGCGACCCCAGGUCAGGCGGGGUUACCCGCUGAAUUUAAGCAUAUCAAUAAGCGGAGGA
rnacentral:misc_RNA from 1 species